rnacentral:rRNA from 1 species
UGAACGCUAGCUACAGGCUUAACACAUGCAAGUCGCGGGGCAGCAUGGUCUUAGCUUGCUAAGGCCGAUGGCGACCGGCGCACGGGUGAGUAACACGUAUCCAACCUGCCGUCUACUCUUGGACAGCCUUCUGAAAGGAAGAUUAAUACAAGAUGGCAUCAUGAGUCCGCAUGUUCACAUGAUUAAAGGUAUUCCGGUAGACGAUGGGGAUGCGUUCCAUUAGAUAGUAGGCGGGGUAACGGCCCACCUAGUCUUCGAUGGGUAGGGGUUCUGAGAGGAAGGUCCCCCACAUUGGAACUGAGACACGGUCCAAACUCCUACGGGAGGCAGCAGUGAGGAAUAUUGGUCAAUGGGCGAGAGCCUGAACCAGCCAAGUAGCGUGAAGGAUGACUGCCCUAUGGGUUGUAAACUUCUUUUAUAAAGGAAUAAAGUCGGGUAUGGAUACCCGUUUGCAUGUACUUUAUGAAUAAGGAUCGGCUAACUCCGUGCCAGCAGCCGCGGUAAUACGGAGGAUCCGAGCGUUAUCCGGAUUUAUUGGGUUUAAAGGGAGCGUAGAUGGAUGUUUAAGUCAGUUGUGAAAGUUUGCGGCUCAACCGUAAAAUUGCAGUUGAUACUGGAUAUCUUGAGUGCAGUUGAGGCAGGCGGAAUUCGUGGUGUAGCGGUGAAAUGCUUAGAUAUCACGAAGAACUCCGAUUGCGAAGGCAGCCUGCUAAGCUGCAACUGACAUUGAGGCUCGAAAGUGUGGGUAUCAAACAGGAUUAGAUACCCUGGUAGUCCACACGGUAAACGAUGAAUACUCGCUGUUUGCGAUAUACAGCAAGCGGCCAAGCGAAAGCGUUAAGUAUUCCACCUGGGGAGUACGCCGGCAACGGUGAAACUCAAAGGAAUUGACGGGGGCCCGCACAAGCGGAGGAACAUGUGGUUUAAUUCGAUGAUACGCGAGGAACCUUACCCGGGCUUAAAUUGCAGAUGAAUUACGGUGAAAGCCGUAAGCCGCAAGGCAUCUGUGAAGGUGCUGCAUGGUUGUCGUCAGCUCGUGCCGUGAGGUGUCGGCUUAAGUGCCAUAACGAGCGCAACCCUUGUUGUCAGUUACUAACAGGUUCUGCUGAGGACUCUGACAAGACUGCCAUCGUAAGAUGUGAGGAAGGUGGGGAUGACGUCAAAUCAGCACGGCCCUUACGUCCGGGGCUACACACGUGUUACAAUGGGGGGUACAGAGGGCCGCUACCACGCGAGUGGAUGCCAAUCCCCAAAACCUCUCUCAGUUCGGACUGGAGUCUGCAACCCGACUCCACGAAGCUGGAUUCGCUAGUAAUCGCGCAUCAGCCACGGCGCGGUGAAUACGUUCCCGGGCCUUGUACACACCGCCCGUCAAGCCAUGGGAGCCGGGGGUACCUGAAGUGCGUAACCGCGAGGAGCGCCCUAGGGUAAAACUGGUGACUGGGGC